UACGUAGGGUGCGAGCGUUGUCCGGAAUUAUUGGGCGUAAAGAGCUCGUAGGCGGUUUGUUGCGUCUAUCGUGAAAACUAGCAGCUUAACUGUUGGCGUGCGGUGGAUACGGGCAGACUUGAGUUCGGUAGGGGAGACUGGAAUUCCUGGUGUAGCGGUGAAAUGCGCAGAUAUCAGGAGGAACACCGGUGGCGAAGGCGGGUCUCUGGGCCAAUACUGACGCUGAGGAGCGAAAGCGUGGGGAGCGAACAGG
rnacentral:rRNA from 1 species